AACGAACGCUGGCGGCAUGCCUAACACAUGCAAGUCGAACGAUUGCCUUCGGGUGAUAGUGGCGCACGGGUGCGUAACGCGUGGGAAUCUGCCCUUAGGUUCGGAAUAACAGCUGGAAACGGCUGCUAAUACCGGAUGAUAUCGCGAGAUCAAAGAUUUAUCGCCUGAGGAUGAGCCCGCGUUGGAUUAGGUAGUUGGUGGGGUAAAGGCCUACCAAGCCGACGAUCCAUAGCUGGUCUGAGAGGAUGAUCAGCCACACUGGGACUGAGACACGGCCCAGACUCCUACGGGAGGCAGCAGUGGGGAAUAUUGGACACUGGGCGCAAGCCUGAUCCAGCAAUGCCGCGUGAGUGAUGAAGGCCCUAGGGUUGUAAAGCUCUUUUACCCGGGAAGAUAAUGACUGUACCGGGAGAAUAAGCCCCGGCUAACUCCGU
rnacentral:rRNA from 1 species